rnacentral:rRNA from 1 species
CCUACGGGAUGCAGCAGUAGGGAAUCUUCGGCAAUGGACGAAAGUCUGACCGAGCAACGCCGCGUGAGUGAAGAAGGUUUUCGGAUCGUAAAACUCUGUAGUUAGAGAAGAACAAGUAGGAGAGUAACUGCUCUUACCUUGACGGUAUCUAACCAGAAAGCCACGGCUAACUACGCGCCAGCAGCCGCGGUAAUACGUAGGUGGCAAGCGUUGUCCGGAUUUAUUGGUCGUAAAGCGAGCGCAGGCGGUCUUUUAAGUCUGAUGUGAAAGCCCUCGGCUCAACCGAGGAAGGUCAUUGGAAACGGGAGGACUUGAGUGCAGAAGAGGAGAGUGGAAUUCCAUGUGUAGCGGUGAAAUGCGUAGAUAUAUGGAGGAACACCAGUGGCGAAGGCGACUCUCUGGUCUGUAACUGACGCUGAGGCUCGAAAGCGUGGGGAGCAAACAGGAUUAGAUACCCCAGUAGUC